rnacentral:rRNA from 1 species
UACGUAGGGUGCAAGCGUUAAUCGGAAUUACUGGGCGUAAAGCGUGCGCAGGCGGUUGUGCAAGACAGGUGUGAAAUCCCCGGGCUCAACCUGGGAACUGCAUUUGUGACUGCACGGCUAGAGUGUGUCAGAGGGGGGUAGAAUUCCACGUGUAGCAGUGAAAUGCGUAGAGAUGUGGAGGAAUACCGAUGGCGAAGGCAGCCCCCUGGGAUAGCACUGACGCUCAUGCACGAAAGCGUGGGGAGCAAACAGG